rnacentral:rRNA from 1 species
CGCCCUUGAAAUACCACCCUUUAAUGGCUGGUGUUCUAACGUGGGCCCGUGAUCCGGGUUGCGGACAGUGUCUGGUGGGUAGUUUGACUGGGGCGGUCUCCUCCUAAAGAGUAACGGAGGAGCACGAAGGUCAGCUAAUCCUGGUCGGACAUCAGGAGGUUAGUGCAAUGGCAUAAGCUGGCUUGACUGCGAGCGUGACGGCGCGAGCAGGUGCGAAAGCAGGUCAUAGUGAUCCGGUGGUUCUGAAUGGAAGGGCCAUCGCUCAACGGAUAAAAGGUACUCCGGGGAUAACAGGCUGAUACCGCCCAAGAGUUCAUAUCGACGGCGGUGUUUGGCACCUCGAUGUCGGCUCAUCACAUCCUGGGGCUGAAGUAGGUCCCAAGGGUAUGGCUGUUCGCCAUUUAAAGUGGUACGCGAGCUGGGUUUAGAACGUCGUGAGACAGUUCGGUCCCUAUCUGCCGUGGGCGCUGGAGAACUGAGGGGGGCUGCUCCUAGUACGAGAGGACCGGAGUGGACGCAUCACUGGUGUUCGGGUUGUCAUGCCAAUGGCACUGCCCGGUAGCUAAAUGCGGAAGAGAUAAGUGCUGAAAGCAUCUAAGCACGAAACUUGCCCCGAGAUGAGUUCUCCCUGACUCCUUGAGAGUCCUGAAGGAACGUUGAAGACGACGACGUUGAUAGGCCGGGUGUGUAAGCGCAGCGAUGCGUUGAGCUAACCGGUACUAAUGAACCGUGAGG